AACUCCUUCGGGGUUCGGUCCCCCUCCCGUUAGAAUAGGGAGGGGUCCCUCACUCCUCCGGGGUCCGCCCCCCCGCGGGGCGG
rnacentral:tRNA from 1 species